CAAAAAUGGAGACGACACAACUUCGAAGAGAAAUCAACUCGAAAUAGCCAAGAGAAUGUUCGAAAACCCCCUCAAAUCCGAUGCUUCCUUUGAUUCCAACCUCCAAAAGCCCAUCUGCUCAAAUCUCCAUUUCGAGGACGAGGACUCGAGGAGUAUUACAAGGUACCUCUAUAGAAUCAAUGGCUUCAAUGGAUUUUGAAACUUUACUUCUAAUAAACACCAUUGUAAUGUUUUGUUGUGAAAUUGUGUAAGGAACAAAGGAUAGUGAAAGCUGAAGAGUGGGAUUCGUUUAUGGAGUUUCAGAGUAAGCCAUUACCUUUCAGAGUUUUUUUGCUUAUUUUAGAAUGCAAAUGACGUUGCUUCUAAAUAUUAUUUCUUCUCAAUCAUUCAUGCUCUGUUUUCCUCUCUUC
rnacentral:misc_RNA from 1 species